rnacentral:rRNA from 1 species
CAACUUUCAACAACGGAUCUCUUGGUUCUGGAAUCGAUGAAGAACGCAGCGAAAUGCGAUAAGUAGUGUGAAUUGCAGAAUUCAGUGAAUCAUCGAAUCUUUGAACGCACAUUGCGCCCCUUGGUAUUCCAUGGGGCAUGCCUGUUCGAGCGUCAUUU